AACGAACGCUGGCGGCAGGCCUAACACAUGCAAGUCGAACGCCCCGCAAGGGGAGUGGCAGACGGGUGAGUAACACGUGGGAACCUUCCCUAUAGUACGGAAUAGCCCAGGGAAACUUGGAGUAAUACCGUAUACGCCCGAAAGGGGAAAGAUUUAUCGCUAUAGGAUGGGCCCGCGUAGGAUUAGCUAGUUGGUGAGGUAAUGGCUCACCAAGGCGACGAUCCUUAGCUGGUUUGAGAGAACGACCAGCCACACUGGGACUGAGACACGGCCCAGACUCCUACGGGAGGCAGCAGUGGGGAAUAUUGGACAAUGGGCGCAAGCCUGAUCCAGCCAUGCCGCGUGAGUGAUGAAGGCCUUAGGGUUGUAAAGCUCUUUUGGCGGGGACGAUAAUGACGGUACCCGCAGAAUAAGUCCCGGCUAACUUCGUGCCAGCCGCCGCCGUAACAC
rnacentral:rRNA from 1 species